GUCGAGAAUAAUUCACAAUGGACGAAAGUCUGAUGGUGCAACGCCGCGUGGAGGAUGACGGUCUUCGGAUUGUAAACUCCUGUCAUCCGGGAGUAAGACCUGGCUGUGAAUAGCAGACAGGGUUGAUAGUACCGGAAGAGGAAGGGACGGCUAACUUCGUGCCAGCAGCCGCGGUAAUACGAAGGUCCCGAGCGUUGUUCGGAAUCACUGGGCGUAAAGGGAGCGUAGGCGGCGUGGUAAGUCAGAUGUGAAAUCCCGGGGCUCAACCCCGGAACUGCAUCCGAUACUGCCGUGCUAGAGGAUUGGAGAGGUAGCUGGAAUUCUUGGUGUAGCAGUGAAAUGCGUGGAGAUCAAGAGGAACACUCGUGGCGAAAGCGAGCUACUGGACAAUAUCUGACGCUGAGGCUCGAAGGCCAGGGGAGCAAAAGGGAUUAGAAACCCCUGUAGUCC
rnacentral:rRNA from 1 species